rnacentral:rRNA from 1 species
GGUUAAGUUAAUAAGGGCGCACGGUGGAUGCCUUGGCACUAGAAGCCGAUGAAGGACGUGACUAACGACGAAAUGCUUUGGGGAGCUGUAAGUGAGCAAAGAUCCAGAGAUGUCCGAAUGGGGGAACCCGGCAGGUAAUGCCUGUCACUCAUUACUGUUAAGGUAAUGAAGAGGAAGACGCAGUGAACUGAAACAUCUAAGUAGCUGCAGGAAGAGAAAGCAAAAGCGAUUGCCUUAGUAGCGGCGAGCGAAAUGGCAAGAGGGCAAACCGAAGAGUUUACUCUUCGGGGUUGUAGGACUGCGAUGUGGACUUAAAGAUUAUAGAAGAACUACCUGGGAAGGUAGGCCAAAGAGAGUAACAGCCUCGUAUUCGAAAUAGUCUUUAUACCUAGCAGUAUCCUGAGUACGGCGAGACACGAGAAAUCUCGUCGGAAUCUGGGAGGACCAUCUCCCAACCCUAAAUACUCUCUAGUGACCGAUAGUGAACCAGUACCGUGAGGGAAAGGUGAAAAGCACCCCGGGAGGGGAGUGAAAUAGAACCUGAAACUGUGUGCCUACAACAAGUUCGAGCCCGUUAAUGGGUGAGAGCGUGCCUUUUGUAGAAUGAACCGGCGAGUUACGAUAUGAUGCGAGGUUAAGUUGAAGAGACGGAGCCGCAGGGAAACCGAGUCUUAAUAGGGCACCAUAGUAUCAUGUCGUAGACCCGAAACCAUGUGACCUACCCAUGAGCAGGUUGAAGGUGAGGUAAAACUCACUGGAGGACCGAACCAGGGCACGUUGAAAAGUGCUUGGAUGACUUGUGGGUAGCGGAGAAAUUCCAAACGAACUUGGAGAUAGCUGGUUCUCUCCGAAAUAGCUUUAGGGCUAGCGUCGAUGUUAAGUCUCUUGGAGGUAGAGCACUGUUUGGGUGAGGGGUCCAUCCCGGAUUACCAAUCUCAGAUAAACUCCGAAUGCCAAUGAGAUAUAAUCGGCAGUCAGACUGCGAGUGCUAAGAUCCGUAGUCCGUAGUCGAAAGGGAAACAGCCCAGACCACCAGCUAAGGUCCCAAAAUAUAUGUUAAGUGGAAAAGGAUGUGGGGUUGCACAGACAACUAGGAUGUUAGCUUAGAAGCAGCUAUUCAUUCAAAGAGUGCGUAAUAGCUCACUAGUCGAGUGACCCUGCGCCGAAAAUGUACCGGGGCUAAAACAUAUUACCGAAGCUGUGGAUACCUUUAUAGGUAUGGUAGGAGAGCGUUCUAUGUGCGAAGAAGGUGUACCGUGAGGAGUGCUGGAGCGCAUAGAAGUGAGAAUGCCGGUAUGAGUAGCGAAAGACAGGUGAGAAUCCUGUCCACCGUAAGACUAAGGUUUCCAGGGGAAGGCUCGUCCGCCCUGGGUUAGUCGGGACCUAAGGAGAGACCGAAAGGUGUAUCCGAUGGCCAACAGGUUGAUAUUCCUGUACUAGAGUAUAUAGUGAUGGAGGGACGCAGUAGGCUAACUAAACCAGACGAAUGGAAGAGUCUGGCCAAGCAGUGAGGUGUGAUAUGAGUCAAAUGCUUAUAUCUCUAACAUUGAGCUGUGAUGGGGAGCGAAGUUUAGUAGCGAAGUUAGUGAUGUCACACUGCCAAGAAAAGCUUCUAGCGUUAAUUAUACUCUACCCGUACCGCAAACCGACACAGGUAGUCGAGGCGAGUAGCCUCAGGUGAGCGAGAGAACUCUCGUUAAGGAACUCGGCAAAAUGGCCCCGUAACUUCGGGAGAAGGGGCGCUGACUGAUAGUCAGCCGCAGUGAAUAGGCCCAAGCAACUGUUUAUCAAAAACACAGCUCUCUGCUAAAUCGUAAGAUGAUGUAUAGGGGGUGACGCCUGCCCGGUGCUGGAAGGUUAAGAGGAGUGCUUAGCGUAAGCGAAGGUAUGAAUUGAAGCCCCAGUAAACGGCGGCCGUAACUAUAACGGUCCUAAGGUAGCGAAAUUCCUUGUCGGGUAAGUUCCGACCCGCACGAAAGGCGUAAUGAUUUGGGCACUGUCUCAACGAGAGACUCGGUGAAAUUUUAGUACCUGUGAAGAUGCAGGUUACCCGCGACAGGACGGAAAGACCCCAUGGAGCUUUACUG